rnacentral:rRNA from 1 species
GUACCCAAGGCGAUGAUGCAUAGCCCGAGUUGAGAGACUGAUCGGGCCACAUUGGGACUGAGACACGGGCCCAAACUCCUACGGGAGGCAGCAGUAGGGGGAAUCUUCCACAAUGGACGCAAAGUCUGAUGGAGCAAAACGCCGCGUGAGUGAAGAAGGGUUUCGGCUCGUAAAAAGCUCUGUUGUUGGUGAAGAAGGACAGGGGGUAGUAACUGACCCCUUUGUUUGACGGUAAAUCAAUUUAGAAAGUCACGGGCUAACUACGUGCCCAGCAGCCGCGGUAAAU